GGCGGUUCUUGGGUGACGUACCCUGGAAUUGGGCUCCCUCCUCUCUGGUUCCGGGGUGUGUCCCCCGAAAACUGCC
rfam:Myotis brandtii contig284495, whole genome shotgun sequence.